GGCAACUUGGCCGAGCGGUUAAGGCGAUGCACUCAAGGGUACCUUCUCCUUGCCCUCAAAUAGGGUAGAUUUGCAUUCUCGAAAGGGGCGUGAGUUCGAAUCUCACAGUUGUCA